rnacentral:rRNA from 1 species
GACGAACGCUGGCGGCGUUCUUAACACAUGCAAGUCGAACGAAGUGGCGAACGGGUGAGUAACGCGUAAUAAACCCGCCCUUCAGAGGGGGACAACAGUUGGAAACGACUGCUAAUACCGCAUACUGAAGGAGGGGAGUGCGUCUGAUUAGCUAGUUGGAGGGGUCACGGCCCACCAUGGCGAUGGUCAGUAACAGGUCGUAGGGGAUGAACGGCCACAUGGGGACUGAGACACGGCCCAGACUCCUACGGGAGGCAGCAGUGGGGAAUCUUCCGCAAUGGACGGAAGUCUGACGGGGCAACGCCGCGUGAGUGAUGACGGCCUUCGGGUUGUAGAGCUCUGUUAAUCGGGACGCGGUACCGGAAUAGAAAGCCACGGCUAACUACGUGCCAGCAGCCGCGGUAAUAC